UGGGACCUGCUCUCUUUGAUGAGGACUCAGCAGCUGUGUCUUCUCUGGUCUGGCAGAGUCCCAUGAGAGGGAGCUGUAUGUGGUCUCAGCAGGUGCUUCCCAGGGGGUGAAACCAAACACCAUCCUCCUCAGUGGGUGGUGUGAACUAAGCUCCAACAUCAGGGCGCAGGGAGGGGCUGGGCUAACACUGGAUGGACCCCAUUUGCAUGGACAGCCCUGCCUGUGGCACAGGGUGGAGGAGAAAAGGAGGCCUGGGGCAGACCAGCCAGGGUCUUUGUCACCAUGGCCUGGAUUCCUGUCCUCCUCAUGCUCCUGUCUCUCUGCACAGGUUCCCUGUCCCAGCCUGUGCUGACCCAGCCGCCCUCCCUCUCUACAUCUCCAGGAACAACAGCCAGACUCACCUGCACCCUGAGCAGGGACAUCAAUGUUGGUAGUAAAUACAUGUACUGGUACCAGCAAAAGCCUGGAAGUCCACCCCAAUUUUUCCUGUUCUACUACACAGAUUCAGACAAGCAGCUGGGACCUGGGGUCCCCAGUCGUGUCUCUGGUUCCAAAGAUGCCUCCACUAAGAUGGCAAGUUUGCUCAUCUCUGACCUGCAGCCUGAGGACAAGGCUGACUAUUACUGCAGUGUAGGUUACAGCAGUGGGAGCAGUUUUCAUUACCGACAGUGUCUCAGACAAUGA